rfam:Schistosoma mansoni, Puerto Rico, WGS project CABG01000000 data, contig: 0032
AUACAGCUGACGAGUUCCAAAUAGGACUAGACGCGCAUCCUGGAU